UUUUUAUCGCAGUGGCAGUAUCGUAGCCAAUGAGGUUAAUCCGUGGCACGAUUAUUGCUAAUUGAAAACUUUUCCCUCAUACAGCACAUUACUGCCUGUAGGUGGGCAUUUAAGGGGCUAAUACCGUUUCCUGAAAU